UGGGGAAUAUUGGUCAAUGGAGGAAACUCUGAACCAGCAACGCCGCGUGAAGGAUGAAGGUUUUCGGAUUGUAAACUUCUUUUAUCGGGGAAGAUGAUGACGGUACCCGAAGAAUAAGCCACGGCUAACUACGUGCCAGCAGCCGCGGUAAUACGUAGGUGGCAAGCGUUGUCCGGAAUUACUGGGUGUAAAGGGCGAGUAGGCGGGACUGUAAGUCAGAUGUGAAAUGCAAAGGCUUAACCUUUGAACUGCAUUUGAAACUAUGGUUCUUGAGUGAUGGAGAGGCAGGCGGAAUUCCCGGUGUAGCGGUGGAAUGCAUAGAUAUCGGGAGGAACACCAGUGGCGAAGGCGGCCUGCUGGACAUUAACUGACGCUGAGGAGCGAGAGCGUGGGGAGCAAACA
rnacentral:rRNA from 1 species